rnacentral:pre_miRNA from 1 species
AACUCUGUGGCUUGUAGGCAGUGUGUUGUUCGGUGGCUGCUGUAUUUGGGUGUAGCAGUCACUACUGCACUGUCACCAGCUGCAGGGCCA